rnacentral:tRNA from 1 species
UGGCUCAGACGGUAAAGCGUCUGCCUACAAUGCAGGAGAUCCGGGUUCAAUCCCUGG